rnacentral:rRNA from 1 species
UACGAAGGGUGCAACCGUUGCUCGGAAUUAUUGGGCGUAAAGGGCGCGUAGGCGGCUUGGCAAGUGGAAGGUGAAAUCCCUCGGCUUAACCGAGGAACUGCCCUCCAAACUGCUUUGCUUGAGGCCGGGAGAGGUGAGUGGAAUUCCCAGUGUAGCGGUGAAAUGCGUAGAUAUUGGGAGGAACACCAGUGGCGAAGGCGGCUCACUGGACCGGUUCUGACGCUGAUGCGCGAAAGCGUGGGGAGCGAACAGG